UACGUAGGGGGCAAGCGUUAUCCGGAUUUACUGGGUGUAAAGGGAGCGUAGACGGUCCUGCAAGCCAGAUGUGAAAGCCCGGGGCUCAACCCCGGGACUGCAUUUGGAACUGUAAGGCUAGAGUGUCGGAGAGGCAGGCGGAAUUCCUAGUGUAGCGGUGAAAUGCGUAGAUGUUAGGAGGAACACCAGUGGCGAAGGCGGCCUGCUGGACGAUGACUGACGUUGAGGCUCGAAAGCGUGGGGAGCAAACAGG
rnacentral:rRNA from 1 species